rnacentral:rRNA from 1 species
UCUGGUGGUUAUAGCGAGGGUUCAGCACCCGAUUCCAUUCCGAACUCGGACGUGAAACCCCUCAGCGCCGAUGGUACUACAUCACGGAGGUGUGGGAGAGUAGGUCGCUGCCAGAC